rnacentral:rRNA from 1 species
GUAGGGGGCAAGCGUUAUCCGGANUUACNGGGUGUAAAGGGAGCGUAGACGGUGUGGCAAGUCUGAUGUGAAAGGCAUGGGCUCAACCUGUGGACUGCAUNGGAAACUGUCAUACUUGAGUGCCGGAGGGGUAAGCGGAAUUCCUAGUGUGGCGGUGAAAUGCGUAGAUAUUAGGAGGAACACCAGUGGCGAAGGCGGCUUACUGGACGGUAACUGACGUUGAGGCUCGAAAGCGUGGGGAGCAAACAGGAUUAGAUACCCUGGUAGUCCGCGCCGUAAACGAUGAAUACUAGGUGUCGGGUGGCAGAGCCAUUCGGUGCCGUCGCAAACGCAGUAAGUAUUCCACCUGGGGAGU